CCAGCCAUUACCUGUUUAUUUUUCAUAUACCUAUGUGCUAUAUUUCAAAUGAUCUCCAAAAGUAUGGCUUAGAGAGGCUAAGUAAUUUGUCCAGUGUCACACAGCUAAUAAGGGGCAUGACCCAGAAUUUAAAACACCUAACUUUUUGGCCCCAGCUUUUUAAAAGCUGGACCUUAAAGCCACCACUGUUUGCUUGUAUAAUUAAUCCCACCACUGUUCACUUGUCCCACCCUCAUCCAGAUGUGUCGGUUGCCCAGGGACAAGGCCAUGUGCUGAAGGCCAUGUGCUCAGCAGCUUUUCCGGGAAUGAUGGUCAGUUUGUAGUGACCCACUCUAGAGGCCAGUUCCUCUUUAAUCACCCGCACAUACUUUCAAGAUGACUCUCUGGAGUCCAGGGUGCUGCUUAAUAUUGGAAUAUUGCUGAGCUCACAGUUUAUUGAGAAGACUGAUUCUGAAUUUUUGGUCUCUUGGCCUGGUGCUGGAGCCAUCUGAGCUAUGCAGCCCGACACUGGAGUAAUUGGCAUGUCCUAUUAACACCUAAGCUUUUCCUUUAUGAGCACCCUUUGGAUUGCAAGCCAUCAAGUUUAUCUACCUAUCGACUCUUUGCAGAGGUGUCACAUGGUUCCCAGUUUCUGAUCCUGACCUGCAUUCUGAAAACAAAAUGAGGAACAAAGAAAGAGAAAGGAUAUUCAUUUCUUUGGGUACUUCAAGGUUCUAAUGAAUGAAACAGAAAUGCUGCCAUUAAAAUUCCCUGAAGCAAGACAACAGUGAGUUUUACUAGCACAUCACCAAAGAAGUUAAUCAGGUUUCCUUGGGGUUGCUGGGCUACGUUGCUUUGAAGAAAAAUAGCACUUCCCUGAAGAGUAAGAAUAGCUGAAACCACAUGUCCCAGCGAGCUUUCAGCCAACUGCUCCUGAAGGAAACGGAAUUUAACUGCGAGAAUGGUUUUUGUUGGAUGACGUUUUGAUUAAGCAACAGGCUACUUUUCCACCCCGGGAAUGUGAUCAUUUGAAGAUAGAUAUAUUAUGACCCAAAUAGAAGCUGGAGUAGAAGGAAGGGCUUGUAGGCUGAGGUUAUGCCUUAUUUGGUAAAUUACUAUAAGAAAAUUGAACUGGGGGUUGUCUAGGGAGGAGCAGCAAAAAGUCACCACCAGUGCAGAGAGACAUAGCCGAGUUCACCAAAUGUUCCUGGCUUCUUGGCACUCAGAGUAGAACUGGGAUGAAACACUUGCAAAGGACAACUUUGAAGGCACCAACCUAGGAUGAAGCCAUAAAUAAAGACUGUCCUUUGGAAUGGAGAUUCUCCAUCAUUCAGUAGCAACUGACUUCAGCCUGCUAUGCUGUGAGCAGUGCUGUGGAGAGGCGCACACAGUGAGGAACUGAAGCCCCCUGCUGACAGCCAUGCGAAUGAGCUUGGAAGAGUAUCCUUUGGACCAGUCAAGCUGUAGAUGACUGCAGCCCCACUAACACUGCAGAGGUGUGAGAGAUGUUGAGCCAGAACCACCCAGCUAGGCCAGUCUUGGAUUCCUGACCCACAGAAACUGUCAGAUAAUAAAUGCUUAUUGUUUGAAGCCAAUAAGACUGGGGUUACUUGUUACACAGCAAUAAAUAACUGAUACAAACUGGCAACAUAAGGUUGGUUAAUCCAUGCAUCCAUCCAUCCAUCCAUCCAUCCAUCCACCCAUCCACCCAUCCACCC
rnacentral:lncRNA from 1 species